UACGUAGGGUGCGAGCGUUGUCCGGAAUUAUUGGGCGUAAAGAGCUCGUAGGCGGUGUGUCGCGUCGGCCGUGAAAACCUGCAGCUUAACUGUGGGCUUGCGGUCGAUACGGGCAUCACUGGAGUUCGGCAGGGGAGACUGGAAUUCCUGGUGUAGCGGUGAAAUGCGCAGAUAUCAGGAGGGAACACCGGUGGCGAAGGCGGGUCUCUGGGCCGAUACUGACGC
rnacentral:rRNA from 1 species